CACCAGGCAUCGUUCCCCGUCCCCGCAUCGACUCGACUCCUCCACUCCCCAUCACCACCGCUGCACUCUCCUCCUCCUCCGCCGCCGCGCACCGCCUUGGUCGCGCUCUCCUCCUCCUUCCCCGUCGCCACCGCGCGUACGUGCUCUCCUCCCCCCCCUCCCCCACCGCGGUGGCGCUCUCCUUCUCCGCCGCCACCGCUGGUCGCCUCGCUGUACUCGUCUCCAUCGCCACCACAUCAAGUGAGUCGAUCCGAUCUACGCGCCGCAUCUGCUCCGUGCCCCCGCUAGUAUCUCCUCGCACUUUUUCUUGUAGAUCACGGGGAAGAAGAGCUGCAGCCACGAAUAGACGACAAUCUGAGGCAGUUGGUCGUGGGAGUGUGAGGAUCUUAUCUUAUCACUUCAGCCGUUCAGCGGCAUGUCGUCAAGAUCUACUAGUAGGCUGGUGAGGCGGCCAGCCGGCAGUGUGCGUUUUGUUUCAUCCUGAUCCAUCGAACCAGCUCAUACUACUAACUGCUGGUGGCUUGGCUUGAAAUAUUAGUGCAAUUGGUACCUGCAUUCUCAAUUUUGCCUUUUUUUUCAUCUCAUUUCACGAAAGAACAUGACAAUGCUAAUAGUGGUAGUUAGCUAACCAGUGCAAUUUUUAAUGAAAUACUAAUCUACAUGUAUAUUUAUUGGAAAUAAAAUAGCUAGUUUCAAAGCAAGUGUAGCAUGCUUCUGCAUAUUUGAUCUGAUGCAUGCUAGGAUGUGAUGUGAUCCAUGUGUAGCAAGUUGGACUAAUCUUGUUCAAGGCUGAAUAUGCACUUUCUGUAACCAUGAAACUGAGCCAUGUAAACUUGUCUGAUCAUAUCUGACUGAAAAAGCAAGUAGAGUUAGUAUAGAUAUCAUCAAAUGGAUGAAGUUUUGUUUUGGUCUUGCACCUGAAUUUCUAAUGCUUUUGUAAUCAUGUAAACUAAGCGAAAUGUCAAUUUUUGUGUUACUUGCGGAGUGCUCAGUGGAAGCAAUGAAUGGUAUAAAACUGAAGCAAUCAGGUAUGCAUUUCUUCUUCUGUGAAGCCUAGAGACAGUAGUUGAGGAAGACAUUACACUUGUUUGGUCUAAGAAAAAAAUGUGCUUGAUGCUAGAUUAAUCACAAGGGUGGGGGGGGGGGGGGGGGGUUGUGGUGAAAACUAAUCACAAAAACAUAAAACCACUAGUUGCCAAUUGCCAUAAAUACUCGAGUCAAAAAUAUUGUAGUGUUGAAAUUUUGUUCCCCACAAAUAACCAUACCCAAUAGUGGUGAAUUAAUGUAGCACUAUUAGCCUAUCCAUUUGUGGCACCUUUUGUUGUCACAAAAACAUUUGAUUUAGUUAGAAAUUAUUGUGUCAAUUCUUCUUCUCACUAUUUUAUUAUAACAGUGUCAAGUAAAUCAUCACAAUUGAUAUGUGAAAAGUGACACCUUUAUCAUCACAAUUUAUUAAACUACUGAUAUCUAAACUAAUGAUCGAAGCAGAUCUCUUUGAUGCCAAUUUUCUUGCAUUGAUAUUGGAGUGCUACUUGGUGGUGUCCACUGUCCACAUAGAUCUGAAUUGUAAUUCCACAUAUUUUGUGUUUGAUGGAAGCUGCAAAGCACCAGAAUGUAUGUGUGCAAUAAGGUUACCCAUUUGUUGAUCAAGUUCUCACAUCACUAGACGUGAGACUUCUCCACACUCUGUGUUUGACGCAAGGAAAUAAGCUCAUCACUCAAGAAACUAAGCUCAUCGCAUUGGGCUUGCUGCUCUUGUUGCAAUUGUGCAUUUGUUUCGACCACUGUGGAGACUUGGCCUUCCAAAAUUUGUGCACGUUGCUCAGCUGCCCCGGCACAUUGCUCAGCAGCAUCUGCACGUGCUCGAGCUGCAGCUUCGCGUUAUUCUGAAGCCUCAAUUAGCACUAGCUGCUAGUAUUAUUUUUUUCUAGUAGCAUAAAACAUGUGGUUGUCAUGAAAAAGGUAUUGAACAUAUGAGGUCUAAAUUAUAUGUUGAAUCUAAGCUGUACUGUAGGAGACUAGGAGUAUUUUUCGAAAUUCUUAAAGUGAAUUGUAACAACUGAUGACCUUUUAAGUUUGAUUUUAAGUAGAAUCAUAUUGUGUGUGUGGUAUGAAAAAUACAGAUAUCUUUUAACAUCUAACCUUUUGAAUCCGAGUUAACAUGUCGCUAUUUUUUGUGUUACUUGCAGUGUGCUUGGUGGGAACCAAUGCAUGAUCUCAGAGAAGUGAAGUUUUACAUAUUUGUGAUGAAUCAACAUGGCAGUUGACUGUUAAUGGCGCUACAAGUCCUCUUGAUUCUUUGCAGUUGUGUUAUUUGUAUGCAUGCAAGUACCUGAUAUGGUUGGAUGAUACAAAUCUGUUAGAUGCAUUAUGCCUUGAUAGCCGUUUAUCUUUGUUUUUUAAUUUAUGUGUGUACGGCAAACCACAUGUUCUAUAUUCUGUAACCGUGGUAGACGUUGCCAGAGAAGAUACGCAAGUUACCUAAUUUUUUUCAUUUUUUUCCAAUUUA